UUUCACUCAAAUUCUACCAGAAAUACCACCGUCAAUGGCAAACUCUUCCUUAGCACCACCGAAUUACAAAUCCAAUCGGUACGAGGUUGAUGAAUUUCAAGGAAAGCAAACUAAAGGUAUCUCUUUGUCCAUGUGUUUUUUGAUUCAUUCUUUUACUCAUAGUAGUCUGUAUUGUGCUUUUUGUGAAAUUCCAUUUAUUUUGUCACACCCCGCUUCAUUCUACCUCUUCAAAAAAUAUUGCCAUUAAACUUACAUCGGAAGAUGAGAUUUCCCUACAAUCAUAGUGUUUCCUUUUAUUGCUUGAAUCCUAGUGUUAUUGAUGUGUGAUUGGAUUCUAGGAAUGAGCGUUGUGUGGUUACAGAAAUGAAUCAAUUGUCAUUAAAAAUGUGAAAUGGAGGAUUGAUCAGGAGGUGGACAUGGUGAAUGAAUUGGUUCAGAUCAAUGAUAUGAGUUUGGAGGUGAAUAUUGAAUGAUUUUAGAUGAUUACAAGUUGAACUUAAGUCGAGAUCUGGCAAUUAAGAUACCAUGAUUAUUGUUCUUAAGAAGAGGAGACAAUUUGAGAACAUGGUGUCUGUCCUUGAAGAAAUGAAGAGAAGGAUCUGCUCACAAUGGAAACAUUUAUUAUGGUGAUCGAAGCAUUUGUUUCUAUGGAGGAGAGGAAAAUGACUAUUUGGAUUUUCAUCUAUGGAGAAGUUUAAUAUACUAAAGUUGGGGAAGAGAUGGAUCAUACUCUUUGCUGGGACAUCCUGGGGAAAAAAGCACAGGCUUUCUUUGAGAAAUUGGGAUGUAGGUUCAUGCUGAAUUAUAGCAUUUAUAGCGUUUCUGAUCAGUCUUUGGCACCAGGUGAAGAUUUUAAUGGAGUCUUGAAGGAGGUGAAGUGGGAUUAUUGAGAAGGGUUUUAG
rnacentral:lncRNA from 1 species